AGCUACUCGGGAAGCUGAGGCAGGAGAUUUGCUUGAACCCAGGAGGUAGAGAUUGCAAUGAGCUGAGAUUGUGCCACUGCACUCCAGCCUGGGCAACAGAGCAAGACUCUGUCUCUAAAUAAAUAAACAGGUAAGUAAACUACUCUUUCUAUACCUUCUCUUUCUAGUUACAAGCUAUUGAGGCACUCCAGAGUGACGGCAUGUGAUCCCCCUGACACAAGAAACAGGCCCAGAUAACACACCGUUCAGACCGACAGCAGUUCUGGUUAUGCU
rnacentral:lncRNA from 10 species